CUGUUACCACUACAAUCAUAAAAAUAUGGGUGCUUGUUUUUCCUCUUUCAGGCUUGCCUAGGCAGAAGGAAGUGCGCAAUUCCGGUACGGCCUGCCAAGUUCGGAGGCGACCCGUGCCCUGGGAUCCAAAAAUCACUUUCAGUUGUGGCAAGCUGCGGAUGAGUAGGAUGGGAAUUGCUACUAUCAUGGCGUGAUUAACUAACAUUCAGUUUGCACAAAUUUGUUGUCACAGGGUCCAAACACUGUACCAAAUCUGAACUACAGAUAGAGCAGUACUGCAUCCACAUGUUAAAAUGUACAGGAGAAGUGUAGUUACACGCACCAAUUUCACUGCAGAAAUAUGUUGGAUUCGCCGAGAGAAGGCAGUUCUUUCACUGUGCAUAUACUCCUGCGAAAAUCCAACCGCUGCAGAAGAUGGGAACCGAAUAAAUUAGAGAGAGUAAACCAACUUCACCGUAAACGUAGGAUUGCAGGGUGCGCCUAAUUUGCGGGUGUUCAGAUGCACGUACCCGCGUUCUUCCUCGCCCGUCCGGAGGUGAAUAGCAAUGGCUUCGCAUGUGGGCGGAGACGCGGAGGCGGUUGGAAAUCUGCCACUGCCACCACGGCCAAG
rnacentral:lncRNA from 1 species